rnacentral:rRNA from 1 species
UACGUAGGGUGCUAGCGUUGUCCGGAUUUAUUGGGCGUAAAGAGCUCGUAGGCGGCUUGUCACGUCGGGUGUGAAAGCCCGGGGCUUAACCCCGGGUCUGCAUUCGAUACGGGCUAGCUAGAGUGUGGUAGGGGAGAUCGGAAUUCCUGGUGUAGCGGUGAAAUGCGCAGAUAUCAGGAGGAACACCGGUGGCGAAGGCGGAUCUCUGGGCCAUUACUGACGCUGAGGAGCGAAAGCGUGGGGAGCGAACAGG